rnacentral:tRNA from 1 species
GGGGUCGUAGUGUAGCUUGGAAGGGUUGAUUUUAUACUUCUAACCCGUGUUCGAAUCACGGCGACCCCG